CCCUGUCUGCCUGCCGACCUCACUGAUUCACCAAACAAGACCACAACUCAGGACUACACCCAAUAAAUCACCUAAUUGUAUCUGUGCUGCGUUUGGGUCCACUCUGUACUACAUCGUAACAAUUUCCAAAUGAAGAAGACAGUUUGGCUGUUGUCUCAAAAAGUUGGUGCACAAGGAACAAAUGUUUUUGGCUUCCAUAUAAAACCCAGGAGAGAUUGCGGAAGGCAGUGAUCUUACAUGAAGUUCCAGACAUUGAAACAUGGGAGGUGUUCUCCAUGGAGAUAUUGAAGAUCAAGGAUUCGAAUGACAAAGCACAAGUGCCUGGUUCAGGCUGAAAAAGGUUCAAGUCUUGAAACAGAACCAGAAACCACACAAAGGAAACGGAAGCAAAAUCCAAAGUAUGACCAGACUGACUCUGAGGAGUCUGACACUGUAGAACAGCCCUUCCCACCAGCGCCGAAGCCCCCC